rnacentral:rRNA from 1 species
AUUGAACGCUGGCGGCAGGCCUAACACAUGCAAGUCGAACGGUAACAGGAAACAGCUUGCUGUUUCGCUGACGAGUGGCGGACGGGUGAGUAAUGUCUGGGAAACUGCCUGAUGGAGGAGGAUAACUACUGGAAACGGUAGCUAAUACCGCAUAACGUCGCAAGACCAAAGAGGGGGACCCUCGGGCCGCUUGCCAUCGGAUGUGCCCAGAUGGGAUUAGCUUGUUGGUGGGGUAACGGCUCACCAAGGCGACGAUUCCUAGCUGGUCUGAGAGGAUGACCAGCCACACUGGAACUGAGCCACGGUCCAGACUCCUACGGGAGGCAGCAGUGGGGAAUAUUGCACAAUGGGCGCAAGCCUGAUGCAGCCAUGCCGCGUGUAUGAAGAAGGCCUUCGGGUUGUAAAGUACUUUCAGCGGGGAGGAAGGGAGUAAAGUUAAUACCUUUGCUCAUUGACGUUACCCGCAGAAGAAGCACCGGCUAACUCCGUG